rnacentral:rRNA from 1 species
GACGAACGCUGGCGGCGCGCUUAACACAUGCAAGUCGAACGGAAAGGCCUGCUUUCCCUUGUGGAUUGCGGGUACUCGAGUGGCGAACGGGUAAGUAACACGUGAGUGAUCUGCCCCCAACUUGGGUAUAAGCCUGGGAAACUGGGUCUAAUUCCCGAUAGGACUGCAGGGUGGUGCCUGUGGUGGAAAACGAUUUUCUAGUGGUUGGGGAUGAGCUCGCGGCCUAUCAGCUUGUUGGUGGGGUAAUGGCCUACCAAGGCGGCGACGGGUAGCCGGCCUGAGAGGGUGGACGGCCACAUUGGGACUGGGAUACGGCCCAGACGCCUACGGGAGGCAGCAGUGGGGAAUAUUGCACAAUGGGCGGAAGCCUGAUGCAGCGACGCCGCGUGGGGGAUGACGGCCUUCGGGUUGUAAACUCCUUUCGACCGCGAGGAAGCCACCUGGUUGGAAGGGUGGUGACGGUAGUGGUAGAAGAAGCACCGGCUAACUACGUG